UCCCUGAUCAGCUCUCUCGGGUGCUGAGGUGCGUGUCUGUCGCGCGUUUGUGUAGGCACGGGGCCUUGUCAAAUUUAAAUUCAUUCGACGAGCACCCGAAAACCUUGGCACCUCGGACGCGUGCAGAUAAGCCCGCAUACAUAAUUAAAAAGCGAGGGGGGAGGACCGUGCGUGACAAUGGAUCGCAUGCUGCAUCCGUAGUUCACGUCUGGGUACCAUCUCUCCACCGCAUCAAUGAAAUGACGACUGGAGGUACGAAAAGGCUUGCAUCCUGUUUCAAGGAGAUGUGCCACAAAAACGGAUGGAUGAUAAAAAUAACUGGGGUGUCCUGCAAGGCUACCCUCUAAAUCGUAAUCAUGGAUUGGGCUCCAUCGCAAGACCAGUCUUGGAGAGGAACAGUAAGGGAGUAUGCUGGGGACAAAGAGGAGGCGACAAGGAACUUGAGUCAUGUGACAGAUUAUUUUAGUGAGGAGACAGAAAAAGGCCCUCCCC